rnacentral:rRNA from 1 species
UACGUAGGUGGCAAGCGUUGUCCGGAAUUACUGGGCGUAAAGGGCGUGUAGGCGGCUAUGUAAGUCAGACGUGAAAACUCCGGGCUUAACCUGGAGAUUGCGUUUGAAACUGGAUGGCUAGAGGAUCGGAGAGGGCAGUGGAAUUCCCAGUGUAGCGGUGAAAUGCGUAGAUAUUGGGAGGAACACCAGUGGCGAAGGCGGCUGCCUGGACGACACCUGACGCUGAGGCGCGAAAGCUAGGGGAGCAAACGGG